UAUAAAGACUAGGGCAGCUCGGCUUGGUAGAAGGACAGCCGAGGGGGGCUGAUACAGGGCUGUACAGUCAUGGCUGACAUGGAGAAAGUGCACAGAGAAGUGUUAUUUGCCCUUUUCCCACGAUACAAAAACUAGGCACCACGUGGUGAAAUGAAUAGGCAGCAGGUUUAAGAGAAAAUACUUUUUCCACACAACGGACAAUUAACCUGUAGAACUCACUGCCAUGGGAUGCUGAUGGCCAAAAGUAUAACUGGGUUUGAAAAAGAAUUAGAUAAA